rnacentral:sRNA from 1 species
GCUGGGCAUGGUGGUGCAUGCCUGUAAUCUCAACAACUUGGGAGGCUGAGGCAGGAGGAUUGCAAGUUCGAGGCCAGUCUUAGCAAUUGAGUGAGACCUUCAAUAACUUAGUGAAACCCUGUCUCAA